UGAACUCUCUUUAAAGACUUGUGUCUGAUGAUACUGAGUUAGUAGUUCGUCAACUUUACUAAUACAGAAAGAACUGAAGGCCAGAUGGAGUGAAGGACGACAUCAUCUUCAUCAGGAGGAAAUGAGGAGAUCUCCACAUCAUUCAACUCUUCUCUGAUUGAGUUCUUCUUUUGCAGAGAUGUGCCGUCUCCACCGCAGCGGUUAACCGGGUAACAACUGAAUCUGUAAACUUGAGAGCAAUGAUGUCAGAGUCACGUGACCUUGCGGUGACGGCACAGGGAAUUGAACUCUCAGAACUCUCAGGGCAAAGUUUUGCCAGUCACCAUCUGGAUCACAUUAAAUCACUUCAGUCUGUUUGGAACGCUCCGUCAUGUUCUAAUUACUCGUGUACACAAAUCAACAUACUGUCAUAUACAUACAACGCUUCUAAUCAAACCAGAACAAUGUAAAGACUCUAGACUGUGCUGUGAGUUGAUUGCCAUCAAUUACAGGUGAUAUUACUGGCCAAACAAAUAAGUUUGUGUGUUACAUUUCCUUGAUAAAGUUUACUUUAAAAUUACAUGAAUUUGAAUUGGUUGGUCAACAAGAUGGCAACAUAAACAUGUAUUUUUCUGGUAAGUUUAUCUGUUGACAAAGUACUCAGCAAAAGUUGUUUAUCUCUCAUUGUGUAGACACUUUAUUUGGUGACGCAUUUUUUUAAUUAGUGAAUGCAUGAGGUAUCACAAACUAACAAUGCACAAUACAUUUUAACAGCAUUUAUUAAUCUUGGUUAAUUUAUGCAAAUAAAAUGGGCCAUUGUUAACUCAUGUUUGUACACUAUGCAUUAACUAACUAGUUUUAAAAAUGUAUUAAUAUAUCUUGAAGUGCUGUAAAAAUGUAUUGUAUUAUUGUUAGUUUGUGAUACUACCCAAUGCAUUUACUAAUGUUAACAAAUACAACCUUAUUUUAAAGUGUUACUCAAUGUAUUAUUGCAGACGUGGUAAGCUGCGCUAUUCUAGUAUUGAAAUUUGGAAUAAUAUUUGGAAAUCUGGAAAAUAGCACUUUUAGUUUUGUGACAGUUGCACAUGGAUUGAUCGAUUCUGCUUGUUUUUCUCUUUGGACAAAAGUGUCUGCUAUUUAAACAUAUGUAGGGUAAGAUGGGGGAAGACGGUGUCAUUAUUAUUCAAUUUAAUAAUUAUUCAAUUAUGGGGUUAUUGUUAAAGAUUUCCAUGCAUUAGAUGUACAUUUCAAACAUCUUCUCUAUUACUUAUAACCUAAUAGGAUAAUUGAGUGGAAUUCAAUCUAUAUUCAUUGUAUUGAUAUUAUGACAUGUCUUCAAUUACACAUAUAGGUGUCUUUAUAUGUAUAUAUUCAUAGGCCUGCACAGUAUAUAAUUCAUAGAAUAAGUUUACCUUUCAGAUGAAUCUCUUUGACUGGGAUUCUGUUAUUUGAUUUGCCUGUCAUUGUUAAGUUAUUCAAUUAUUAACUAAAUUGUGAAAAUAAACAAUUAUAUAAUAUAUAUAUAUAUAUAACUUUAAAUCUCAAAAAUACAUUACUAAGAAUGAUAUCAGAUGUAUUUUAUACAUUAUGUAAAAAUCGGAUGACACCUGGGACAAGUUUACCCUGGGGGGGGGCUUCUUGCCCCAGUAGUGGGGUAAGUUGGCCCUUUUUCAUAAUUUGUAAUUUUGUGCUAUGACAACAAAUUUAGGAAAUGUUUCUAUUUAUUUACCUUGAAAAUAUGUUGGAUGAUGCAUCAUAAUCAUGUACAUGCUAAAAAGUGUAUCUAUAUAUGUUACAAUUUAAAAGUAA